AUGUGUGUCCCUGAUCUUUGUGUCCUCAAGAGUGCUGUAAUAGGUAAUAAAAAUUAUAACUUGGGGGCAAUAGUUGCACGUAGGUUGCAUAAUAAUGGCAUAUCUGGAGAUUUAUUUGGAGGAAUUUAUGCGACCCGUGUUGCUAAUUAUCUUGGUAUAUCCACACGUGAGGGUGAUAUUGAGUUGCCUGCUGCUUAUUUAGAUUUUGAUGCUAUGGUCAGACACUGUUUUCUUGUGAGGAAUGAACAAUUCCUCAAGUAUCGACUAAUCUUUGACAGACGUCGCACAGUCCGUGUUACUCUCCCUUCUCCUUCCCUUUUUGAUUACCAGGCAAAACGAAGAUAUGUUGUUACCAGGGAGGACGCAGCCGAACACGAGAGGAGAGAGGAGGCAGCUCGCCAACAUGCCAUAGCUCAGGAGGCAUUGGCUGCUGCAUCUUAG
rnacentral:rRNA from 1 species